CAUGGCUCAGGACGAACGCUGGCGGCGUGCUUAACACAUGCAAGUCGAACGGUGAAGCACCUUCCUUUUGGUGGGUGUGGAGGAGUGGCGAACGGGUGAGUAACAAGUGAGGAACCUGCCCCCUUCUUCUGGAUAACCGCCUGAAAGUGUGGCUAAUACGGGAUAUUCUGGGUCUGUCGCAUGGCGGGCCUGGGAAAGAUGCGCCUUUGGGUGUUUUUGGUGGGGGAUGGGCUCGCGGCCUAUCAGCUUGUUGGUGGGGUGAUGGCCUACCAAGGCGGUGACGGGUAGCCGGCCUGAGAGGGUGGACGGUCACACUGGGACUGAGACACGGCCCAGACUCCUACGG
rnacentral:rRNA from 1 species